rnacentral:rRNA from 1 species
AUGGCGACCGGCGCACGGGUGAGUAACACGUAUCCAACCUGCCGAUGACUCGGGGAUAGCCUUUCGAAAGAAGGAUUAAUACCCGAUGGCAUAGUUCUUCCGCAUGGUAGAACUAUUAAAGAAUUUCGGUCAUCGAUGGGGAUGCGUUCCAUUAGGUUGCUGGCGGGGUAACGGCCCACCAAGCCUUCGAUGGAUAGGGGUUCUGAGAGGAAGGUCCCCCACAUUGGAACUGAGACACGGUCCAAACUCCUACGGGAGGCAGCAUG